UUAGAUAUUAUCUAGUCUAAUCUAAUUAUACCAAUCUAAUCUAGAUCCCAUCUAAUCUAAUAUGAUCCAAUCUAAAGUGAGUCAUCUAACAUGUUAGUUAAUCUUGGUGAAAUAGAUUAAACUCUACUUCUAUAGUCAUGUUUUAACCUAAAAUUGGUGCCCUGCACUAACUUGGUCAUAUACAACCAACCUGACCUACAUGUUGGGUUGCAUAACCUGCCUAACCCGACCUAGAAGCAAAACAACAAGACAAAUUCUGUUUAAACUUAUUUAACUCAUAACCACCGACUAACCUAUUUUGUUUACCUACGAAACUGCCUUAACCACAUAUCUCUGAUUCGGAUAACAACAUCAAGAACGAAGACCAAAGAGGAUCAACGUCAUCAAGAAAGGAUAAGCACCAACUCAAGUCUUCAAAGAUCAAGUUGAAUCGCCAGCGGAAUCAAGAUCCACGGUUCUGGAUGAAGUCUGUCCUUAUUACACCCUUGCCAUAAUCGUGCCUCAUGUGACAUAAUAGAUGGCUAGACAUACAAUAUCCAUAUGUUCCAAAUCGUCUACUAACUGUUAUGUAAAAAAACCUUGAACAAAACUUUGAUUUCCAAAACCCAAUGAGAAACUAAAAUUCUAAACCAUACCUAUUGUAUCCUUUUUCUUACAAAUCUCGAGGACGAGAUUAUUUUUAAGGGGGUAGGAUUUGUAACGCCCGAAAUCUGAUUUUGGGGAAUAGUAAUAGAAAUCAAAGUAAAGUGUCCCUAAUGAAUAGUUAUACUUUGGAACCCACCAUCUUCUAAAAAUAAAUAGAAACAUUAAAACAAUAUUAGUUAAGGUAAAAUAGAAAUAGAAAUUCAGUUUGUAAAUUUCAAGAAAUAAUGAAUGGAUUAUCCCCUUCUAGGACUGUAUAUAAAAUAUUUUUUUACGUGUUAAAGUAACUCAUGAUAGAAAAAAAAUACAUUACUUCCCCCUAAAAUAAUCAAGUAAUGAAUAUUCACUUUUAAAUGAAAUUUUAACUAAAAUACUUAAAACCAUAUUUUCUUAAAAAUAAACAUUUCAUGUGUGCAUUGCAUAUUUGAAAUAAAUUUUCAAAUAACGAGGUAAGAUAAUUAGUAAAAAAAAUACUUGCAUAUUAUACUGGAUAUUUUAUCUGUUUGUUGUGAAUUCUAUUAAAGUCUAAAACCUAGAAUAAAAAUUGAAGUUGGGAUUUAAAACUGAAAUGGGAAAAUAAGAAACAUAAAAGAAAAAAAAUAAAACUACUACUCGAGACGUACCACAUAGGAGACGUUGAAUUUCCACUUUCUUUAUUCACCUAGACGGAGCUUACGUCAUGCUGAUGCAAGAAGUGAUGUCAUCAUGCAAAUUCAACCCAGCACGUAGGCGAUGCGGCCGGGGAGCAGCUGGACCAGGUCCCAUGACCGCCGGACUCAUAGGGAUUGCGUUGGGUUCAGGUUGUUGAGAUCUGUGUGAUUCCGUAACAAACACGGAUGCUAUCUAAGAUUCAAUCGGCCUCCUCUAUGGGCAUAUAUUGCCGAGCCCUUCAUCCAUCUUGCACAACCGAGCGAACAGGAGGGAGAUUACCGCCAUGGCGAGGAGCCUGCGUCCCGUGGUGGACCUCCGCGUAACCAAGAAUCCCGAGCCGGCCGAAGACCCUGCGCCAUCGCCUAUCGUCUGGCCGAACGCUUUGGCGCCCUCGUCCUCCUCGACACCUCCUCCGUCGCGUCCAGCCAUCCAUCGAUCCGCUGACCGCCGGGCCACCGCCGCCAUGGGGUUUCAUCGCGCCGCUAUAACACAGCGAGGUCACGUGCCAUCUGAAGAGCAAGUUGGUACCUGGAAUCUCAAGUCCCAGGCAAGUUGUGCCCUUGAUCACUUCUUUUUACCCAGCCAUGUUCUGAUUAAUCAUAAUGAUCUGCAUAGGUUAAAUUUUGAUGGGACCCAAUAGGUUACCCUAGUUUGAUUAUCUUUAUACCUUGUUACCACUGAACUUUUUGGGUAGUACUUGCUAGUGCUUUAUGUGGUUUUGGGUAUGAAGAUACAUUACUCAUGAUUAUACUUUUGUUAUUCGUUGUUAUUUAUCGUUCAUGAUAAGAUCAUUAUGUUAAUUGGAACAUGGAGCGACCACCCGGGAAAACAGUGCUACCACAAGGGUAUAAUGGGACGCCCUUGGCUGAUUAAUUAGGAAAGCUAGUGGAGGACUACCUUACCCGAAAGGGGCAAGGGCAGUAGGGGAGUGGUCAGUGUAGGGAGGCCCUCGGGAGGAUUUUGCUGCGAUGGCGGUCCUGCAAGGGAAUUCCUGCAUUGGAGCUUCCUAUAAACUGUAGCGGGUUUUCUGAAGCUAGUGGAACUUUGUAAAGGCCUCGUAGUGUUACCCUGCCUCGCCUCCUCGGUAGAGGUGUAUGGGAAGUCGCGAUCCCUUGGCAGAUGGGUAACAUGACUUGUGGGUAAAGAUGCGCAACCUCUGCAGAGUGUAAAACUGGUAUACUAGCCGUGCUCACGGUCAUGAGCAGCUCGGACCCUCACAUGAUUAAAUUAUGGAACUUAAACUCAAUUUGUCAUAUGCAUUGCAUCGCAGGUGAGGUUGUUACUUCUGUUCUACUAUUUAAUUGGGUUGGUAUUUACUUAUACUUAGUAAUUGCUAAUAAAAUUUUGACCAACUUUAAAAGCAAUGCUCAGCUCUAACCAUCCUUUUUGGUAAGCCUUACACUUCACAUGAACUCCCACCUUUGGCGAGUUCAUUCACAUUAUUCCCCACAACUUGUUGAGCGAUGAACGUAUGUGAGCUCACUCUUGCUGUCUCACACCCCCCCACAGGUCAAGAGCAGGUACCACAGGAUGAGGCGCGUGGAGGAUGCUGUGAUGAGUUCGUGAGUGGUCUAGGCCGUCGUCUCCCAGUCAACUUUGGGUUGCUGGACCGUUGUCUCCUUAUAAUGUAAUUAUUUAUUUUGUAUAGAACUCCUAUUAUAUAGUAAAGAUGUGACAUUCGAUCCUGUGCCAUGAUUCAUCAUAUGUG